rnacentral:rRNA from 1 species
AUUGAACGCUGGCGGCAUGCCUUACACAUGCAAGUCGAACGGUAACGCGGGGCAACCUGGCGACGAGUGGCGAACGGGUGAGUAAUGUAUCGGAACGUGCCCAGUUGUGGGGGAUAACUGCUCGAAAGAGCAGCUAAUACCGCAUACGACCUGAGGGUGAAAGCGGGGGAUCGCAAGACCUCGCGCAAUUGGAGCGGCCGAUAUCAGAUUAGGUAGUUGGUGGGGUAAAGGCCCACCAAGCCAACGAUCUGUAGCUGGUCUGAGAGGACGACCAGCCACACUGGGACUGAGACACGGCCCAGACUCCUACGGGAGGCAGCAGUGGGGAAUUUUGGACAAUGGGCGCAAGCCUGAUCCAGCCAUGCCGCGUGCGGGAAGAAGG